UGGAUUCAUUGAGAGAUGCAAGCUAUCGCUUAUGUCUACAACUCCUAGGGCAAGUUCUAUGUAGCUAAUCUAGAAACAUGCAUUAAUGAUAAUCCUAAAGAUGAAUAUCACAACUUAGCAAUCUAUAGUUGGGGAUAAUCCCUCGUAACCUAUUUAAACCCUAGAUCUAACAAAGAGAACUACUCAGACAUUGCUAAGCAAUUCAUAACAGGAAUAAGAUACAAAAACUGCAUAGAUAAAUAAAUAGAUAUCAAUGGAGUUCCAAUCACAAAUCUCUUUGGAUCUUCUCUCCAAUCUACUAAAAAUCCUAGAAAACCUUGCUGUGAAAAUAAUAAAACAAGAAAGCACACUUUGCCUCUAACAUGUUGGCAAAGCUUAUAUAAUUGGUUUAAAACUCGUCAUGGGUAAUCUUGUAAAUAGGUGAAGACUUGGGCUCUUAGUCGGCUGAGACCAAACGGGCUUUCUGCGCGCUUCGCUGUCGAUCAAUGUUACGAUGUGAACAUCGAUCGAUUAUUUCUCUUCAAUGUCGACCGAUGGUCGUGCUCGAUGGUCAUCUCGGGUGCUUACUCCAAACAUCUCCAAAAUGCUUCAAAAUCAUCACUUUCCUCCAAAUCAAUCAUGAUCCUAUAAAUAUGCUAAAUAAACUCUAUAAUAAAAUAAUUAGUACUUAAAACACUUAUAAACCAUGGGUAAAAGUAGGUCAAAUCCAUGGUCUAUCAACUUCCCCAGACUUACCCUUUUGCUUUUCCUCAAGCAAAACAUACAUGCAGUCUCUCUGAAAGAGGUUUGAAAAUAGCAGGGACUCACAAAUUAAAACUUAGAAUCAACACCUUAGACAAUCCUAAUUUUAGAAGCACACUAUACCAUAUCCUAAUCUAGCAACCAAGUUCAUCUAGUCAAAAACUUAGCAAAUCAUGUUUGACAAUCC
rnacentral:lncRNA from 1 species